rnacentral:rRNA from 1 species
AGAGUUUGAUCAUGGCUCAGAUUGAACGCUGGCGGCAGGCUUAACACAUGCAAGUCGAGCGGGGAAAGGUAGCUUGCUACCUGACCUAGCGGCGGACGGGUGAGUAAUGCUUAGGAAUCUGCCUAUUAGUGGGGGACAACGUUCCGAACGGAACGCUAAUACCGCAUACGCCCUACGGGGGAAAGCAGGGGAUCUUCGGACCUUGCGCUAAUAGAUGAGCCUAAGUCGGAUUAGCUAGUUGGUGGGGUAAAGGCCUACC